AUAAUGUUUUGCAUUUUUUAAAAGUAAUAUUUUUAUUUUGUCUUAUAUCAAUCUUCUCUGGUGUCUAUUUAUUUAGAGAAGUACUAGGAAUUGUUGGUAUAAAAUCAGACCAUCUCACAAACAUUUGAUACAACAAGUAUCAUUAAUUCCUAUCAUAGUCUCAGGAGGCUAUUAUAUCUGAUUGGGUAAUUUUCUACUUUGAUCAAUUUUUUUGAGGACAAAGUACUGUUGUGUAGCAGGACUAAGAAAAUAACAGCAUUUGAUGACCUAUUUAACAUUUUCAUAUUUACAGAGUCCAAAAUUAGCAGUUCUAUGUGUAGUUGAGAGACAUUCUGUAAUCAGAAGAGGAAAGGUGGUGGAGGAGGAAAGCCAUUGCAGGAAUUGCAGCUCCUGGUGUAGCUGUGGUCACAGGGCCUUUCACAGAGACACAGAGAAAGUGAGGAAUCAGUCCUUCUCUCCCUGCACUUCUAGCAGUCAUGGGCACUGGAGAGCACAGCGACAUGUAACACCUAUAGUAGGCAAAUUACUGGCACAAUAGUUAUUGGAUAGACACUGGGAUUUUUAGCUCUGUUCCUUAAUAAAAUGUCUUUCACAUGCCUCUGAGGAACUUUA
rnacentral:lncRNA from 1 species